CUGGAAUCUGUACCUGGAGAUGUAAAUCCUGAAGAGAGUGAUGGAGAAGUUGAGAAGGUUUUCCAGACCUUGCAAAGUUUACCCUCAGAAAUCCCAUCAAGAAAGUGGCUUGUAGAUUACAUGAUGGAGCUUGGGUUCUUCAAAUCACUUUCCCAGUGGGUUGGCAAUAACCUUAUGAAAUCUGGGGACCAUGAAACAUGGGCUUUUGAUCUCCAAGGUGCUGUUGAUAUGUUCAAUUCAUACAGGUUUCAGUUGGUGAUAUUGUGGUGACUCCAAUUUGAAUCAAUCAAUUUAUUCCAAUUUGUUCUUUUGAAGCUACUUCAGGUCAGAGCAGAAAAAUAUAAUUUUUCUGGAAUCAAUGAAUUUUGAAUCUAGGAAAAUCAACACUUGUGGUGGUGUUGAUGGUGGAGGUGCAGGUUUUGGAGGAGGAUGAGGAGGCAGUGGUGGUACUGGAUCAGAUUUGGAAGAUAAUUUGUAUUUGGAGUUAGUGGUGGUGUUUUGGUAUGAAGCUGAGAGGUUUGGUAUGGAUGUUAGAGCUGUGUUAGACAUUCUAAGUUGGAACUACUUUACAUU